UUAUUCUGCUCUAUUUAUUCGCGUCUUCUCCAAAUCAUUCUGCUCAUUUUUCAGUCUGCAACUCUUCAGAAUUUCGUUCCAAUCCUUCAUCAACAAGUGGGUGCAUCUAACAAUUUUGGAAUCAUCCAGUUUUCCAUCUCCAUUUUAGAUGGCUCGUCGCGGCAAGGGAGCUAAUCAUGUAUGGACUAUUGAAGAAGAUGCGAAACUUGUAGAAACAAUUGUUGAGUUGAAGAGAAGUAGGAAUUGAGAUGGUGAAAGUGGAAGUGGGUUAAAAAAAGGUUAUCAAAAGGAGUUGGAGAAGAUAUUGCAAGAAAAAAUGCCAGGCCAUGGUCUUAAAGAAAAACCACAUAUUGAAUCUCGGUGUAAGUUAUUGAAAAAACAUGCUGGGGUUU